rnacentral:rRNA from 1 species
GGCGAACGGGUGAGUAACACGUGGGUGACCUACCUUCGAGUGGGGGAUAACGUUCCGAAAGGGACGCUAAUACCGCAUAACAUCCUGCCUUUGAAGAGGUGGAGAUCAAAGCUGGGGAUCGCAAGACCUGGCGUUUGAAGAGGGGCCCGCGUCCGAUUAGCUAGUUGGUGAGGUAGUGGCUCACCAAGGCAACGAUCGGUAGCCGGCCUGAGAGGGCGGACGGCCACACUGGGACUGAGACACGGCCCAGACUCCUACGGGAGGCAGCAGUGGGGAAUUGUUCGCAAUGGGCGCAAGCCUGACGACGCAACGCCGCGUGGAGGAUGAAGGUCUUCGGAUUGUAAGCUCCUGUUGCCCGGGACGAACGUCUCCGACUUAACACGUCGGGGAGUGACGGUACCGGGUGAGGAAGCCCCGGCUAACUCUGUGCCAGCAGCCGCGGUAAUACAGAGGGGGCAAGCGUUGUUCGGAAUUACUGGGCGUAAAGGGCGCGUAGGCGGCCUGCUAAGUCGAACGUGAAAUCCCCGGGCUCAACCCGGGAACUGCGUUCGAGACUGGUGGGCUUGAAUUCGGGAGAGGGAUGCGGAAUUCCAGGUGUAGCGGUGAAAUGCGUAGAUAUCUGGAGGAACACCGGUGGCGAAGGCGGCAUCCUGGACCGACAUUGACGCUGAGGCGCGAAAGCCAGGGGAGCAAACGGGAUUAGAUACCCCGGUAGUCC